AUACGGAGGGUGCAAGCGUUAAUCGGAAUUACUGGACGUAAAGCGCGCGUAGGCGGCUGAUUAAGUCAGAUGUGAAAUCCCCGGGCUCAACCUGGGAACUGCAUCUGAUACUGGUCAGCUAGAGUUUUGGAGAGGUAAGUGGAAUUUCCGGUGUAGCGGUGAAAUGCAUAGAGAUCGGAAGGAACACCAGUGGCGAAGGCGACUUACUGGCCAAGAACUGACGCUGAGGUGCGAAAGCGUGGGGAGCAAACAGGAUUAGAUACCCCAGUAGUCC
rnacentral:rRNA from 1 species